CCCCCCUUUCCCCUCCCCGACAUUCACGCACGCAUAUAUGAUAUGUAUACGCCUGUAUAUAUAUUUACUAUUCCUCACAAACAACUAGCCGUUCGGGGAUAGAGAGAGAGUUUUGCUUUAUUGUGGUUCACACUUCAACGGAGAGCAUGGUGGUUUUCACGGCGAUCAAGAAGCAUUCGAUGAUCCAAACUGUCAGCAUUGCAAUAAAUCUAUUACUGGUCUGAUUCAUAUUCUUCGCUGAAGGGAUAUUUCGUUGAUUCGGCUAAGAGAUUCACAAUUAGACCCGAUUUCAAAUAUGGCCUUGCUCUCUUCUGGACGGUUGCUUGAUUGAGAAGACAAAAGGUCCUAACCUCCCUCAUCUCUCAACCCUCCUACAUGGUGCUUCAUAUCUAUGACGACUACAUUAUGAUAAUUACUGUGCUAUCAAGGCAUCAACAAGUAUCCUCAUUAGAAGUCAUUUUGUCUCUUGUUCUGGCUGAUAGUAUCUAUUUCCCACGUCGGUGUGUGAUAGGAUAGCAAGACACAGGUUCUGACAUUAAUGUGGCAGUGAAGUUUGUAAAGAUUGAUGAUAAAAGGUAAGUUUUACGUUUAUAUUUUGGAUUCAAGUCAGCUGGAAUAUUCAGGAUUUUGUUAUCUACGUUUUGUUCUUUGAAACAUGUAUUUACCAUGCAUAUAUGAGGUUCUUUUUUUUAUUCCUUUCUCACUUGCAGUUAAUUUUUAAGGCAU